rnacentral:rRNA from 1 species
GUCCUAGCCGUAAACGGUGGGCACUAGGUGUUGGAGGCAUCGACCCCUCCAGUGCCGCAGCUAACGCAUUAAGUGCCCCGCCUGGGGAGUACGGCCGCAAGGUUGAAACUCAAAGGAAUUGACGGGGCCCGCACAAGCGGUGGAGCAUGUGGUUCAAUUCGACGCAACGCGAAGAACCUUACCCAGACUUGACAUGCACGAGACCGGUGUCGAAAUACACCUUCCCUUCGGGGCUCGUGCACAGAUGCUGCAUGGCUGUCGU